rnacentral:rRNA from 1 species
GUGGGGAAUAUUGGGCAAUGGGCGCAAGCCUGACCCAGCAACGCCGCGUGAGGGAAGAAGGCUUUCGGGUUGUAAACCUCUGUCCUUGGUGACGAAAAAAAUGACGGUAGCCAAGGAGGAAGCCCCGGCUAACUACGUGCCAGCAGCCGCGGUAAUACGUAGGGGGCGAGCGUUGUCCGGAAUUACUGGGCGUAAAGGGUGCGUAGGCGGCCUAUUAAGUUGGAUGUGAAAUACCCGGGCUUAACUUGGGGGGUGCAUCCGAUACUGGCAGGCUAGAGUGCAGGAGAGGGAAGCGGAAUUCCUAGUGUAGCGGUGAAAUGCGUAGAUAUUAGGAGGAACACCAGUGGCGAAGGCGGCUUUCUGGACUGUAACUGACGCUGAGGCACGAAAGCGUGGGGAGCAAACAGGAUUAGAAACCCUAGUAGUCC